rnacentral:tRNA from 1 species
GCCCCCGUAGCUCAGCGGACUUCAGCAGCGGCCUUCUAAGCCGACGGGCGCAGGUUCGACUCCUGCUGGGGGCA